GACGAACGCUGGCGGCGUGCUUAACACAUGCAAGUCGAACGGUGAAGCUCCAGCUUGCUGGAGUGGAUCAGUGGCGAACGGGUGAGUAACACGUGAGCAACCUGCCCCUGACUUUGGAAUAAGCGCUGGAAACGGCGUCUAAUACUGGAUAUGAGAAGGGUCCGCAUGGACACUUUCUGGAAAGUUUUUCGGUUGGGGAUGGGCUCGCGGCCUAUCAGCUUGUUGGUGAGGUAAUGGCUCACCAAGGCGACGACGGGUAGCCGGCCUGAGAGGGCGACCGGCCACACUGGGACUGAGACACGGCCCAGACUCCUACGGGAGGCAGCAGUGGGGAAUAUUGCACAAUGGGCGAAAGCCUGAUGCAGCGACGCCGCGUGAGGGAUGACGGCCUUCGGGUUGUAAACCUCUUUCAGCAGGGAAGAAGCGAAAGUGACGGUACCUGCAGAAGAAGCACCGGCUAACUACGUG
rnacentral:rRNA from 1 species